AAAAGAGACACGGACAGGUUCUCUGUUUAGUUCGUAAAAUAAAACAAAUGAAAGUUGCACAGCUGCUUUGUUUACUUUGGAUACUGUAUUUAAACACUGAUGUUCUAGCUUCGAGGCAAAGAGGUGUUAGAAAAGAAAAUACAAGGAAUAAUGAACCAGGUUAUGGUCGGAGGCAAGCUUCGCCAAGUAUAGGAAAACCAGCAGAGAGUAGGGAGAGGAACCGAAAUGAUGGAAGGAAUAGAGGUCACAGGCAAAGAGGUGCUAGAAAAGAAAAUACAAGGAAUAGUGACAUACGUUAUGGUCGGAGACAAGCUUCGCCAAGUAGAGGAAAACAAGCAAAAGGAAGGGAGAGGGACCGAAAUUAUGGAAGGAACGGAGGACGAAGACGAGCAUCUCCUGAACCAGUUUUAACAGAGCGGAAAAUGAUGCAAACUCUUUGUAAACAUUGCGAGAAUAGAGACCCAAACAGCGCAAACUGUCGAUCUGUUUGCCAAGAAUCAAAAAUCCCCGAAGGUAGCAGAGCUUUCUCUAGACAACUCGGAGAUUCGUUUUGCUACUUUUGUGAAAACUACCGAAGCAACUCGAGUAAUUACCAAUUAUGCAGAAAUCGGUUAUGUGCAGCAGGAAAGUAGUGGAAAAGGACGUUAUUUUUUGCUUUGAGAAAUAAUGAUAACAAUCUAUUUUUUAUUUGUUUUGCUGUUAAAUGAAUAAAAGUGAGCAAGCCAGG
rnacentral:sRNA from 1 species